rnacentral:rRNA from 1 species
CCUACGGGUGGCAGCAGUGAGGAAUAUUGGUCAAUGGUCGGGAGACUGAACCAGCCAAGCCGCGUGAGGGAUGAAGGUACAGAGUAUCGUAAACCUCUUUUGUCAGGGAACAAAGGCGGGGACGCGUCCCCGGAUGAGUGUACCUGAAGAAAAAGCAUCGGCUAACUCCGUGCCAGCAGCCGCGGUAAUACGGAGGAUGCGAGCGUUAUCCGGAUUUAUUGGGGUUAAAGGGUGGGCAGGCGGUCUGUUAAGUCAGCGGUCAAAGCCCGGGGCUCAACCCCGGCCCGCCGUUGAAACUGGCAGGCUCGAGUGGGAGAGAGGAAUGCGGAAUGCGCGGUGUAGCGGUGAAAUGCAUAGAUAUCGCGAAGAACUCCGAUGGCGAAGGCAGCAUGCCGGCUCCACACUGACGUUGAGGCACGAAGGCGUGGGUAGCGAACAGGAUUAGAUACCCGUGUAGUC